rnacentral:rRNA from 1 species
GACGAACGCUGGCGGCGUGCCUAAUACAUGCAAGUCGAGCGAAGAGGCGGAUGGGUGAGUAACGCGUGGGUAACCUGCCCUUAAGUCUGGGAUACCAAUUGGAAAAAGAUGCUAAUACCGGAUACUAAAGGAUGGACCUGCGAUGCAUUAGCUAGUUGGUAAGGUAACGGCUUACCAAGGCGAUGAUGCAUAGCCGAGGUGGUGGACUGUGCGGCCACAUUGGGACUGAGACACGCCCCAAACUCCUACGGUAGGCAGCAGUAGGGAAGCUUCCACAAUGGACGAAAGUCUGAUGGAGCAACGCCGCGUGAGUGAGGAAGGUUUUGGGAUCGUAAAGCUCUGUUGUUGGUGAAGCGGUAAUCAACCAGAAAGUCACGGCUAACUACGUGCCAGCCGCCGCGGUAAUUC